UUCUCGUAUCUGUUGUUACUGCUUGCGAGA
rnacentral:snRNA from 1 species